GCCUGGGUGGCUCAGUUGGUUGAGCAUCUGGCUUUGGCUCAGGUCAUGAUCUCACAGUUUGUGGGUUUGAGCCCCGCAUCGGGCU
rnacentral:tRNA from 1 species